UGAGCGAUUGCGAAGGACCAAGAAGAGCCUCAAGCUGUCACUUGCUGCCUGGAGUUCGUUCGGAAAGUUGAAAAAGCCUAAUUCUAAUUAGGAAAUCUAUCCAGCUGUGUAUUUACUUUUGUUUUUAGGGUCUGAAGCUCAGGAAGGCUUAAGGAAACAAGAUCACACAGCUGAUGAAGAUGUAGAACUCUCAGCUCCUCCUGCACCAUGCCUGCCUGGAUGCUGCCAUGUUCUCUUCUUGAUGAUAACGGAGUGAACCUCUGAAUAGGCACUAGGUGGUUGGAAAAGAUACCAACUUUUGUAGAAGGACCUUCGAAAGCUGUUCCAGUUAACAGAGAUGAAAGGAUGGAUCUAUUCAGCGUUGUGGAGGUCCUAACGGAUCGGUAGAUGGACUUCUGACAGCAGCAACAACAAUUAGGCCUUCUCCACAUCCUAAAUGAAUGUUGGACAUUGAAUGACACCACAA